CGUCCGCGAGGCUCCCGGGCCCGCCGGCGUCUGUGGGGAACUGGGGCGCUGGUCGGUGCGCGGGCUGGGACGCUAAGUCAUGAGGAAUUAAACUGGGAAACCUGGCGUGGGUCCAGGCGCCUUCCAGGAGGCAUCCGGCGCGGCCCGGACGUGCUUCUACCCAGAACCACCCCCUCCAGGCCGGGGUGCACUUAACGGGGCUAUACAAAGAGUCUGACACUGUUAUUGCCCAUCUGAACUCGUCAACUGAGAAGGAAAGAGAUGGUUUAUGCUGUGAAUAAAAUACAGUUGUGCUGUGAUGUAAAUCCCCUCAUCCUGGAGCAGCUGAGCAAGGUCUAAGGCAGGAAGAACCUUCAAGCAGGUCAUGGCUGCUCAACUCUGCCUGGCAGUGGCAAGGGCCAGGGCCAGUGACUGAAGCAACAAACUGCCAGAUGACUGCAGCUCAAGCCAAUGCACAAAGCCACUGCAACAAGAGAGGAAAUUCUUCCAUUUCCAAGUGUGUCGAUUUCUCCCCAUCAAGGAAAACAGCUAAGGCAAUGUGUUGAUAUUUUCUUUGACCAAGUCAUCAGGAGUCACAUAGACAUACAGCACUCAAGAAGUGGCUGUAACUAAAGGCACAUCUCGUUCAUCUACAACCCUUGUAAUCCCAACCUUUGUCUGAUGCACAAACCCUUCCCUAGUUCUCCCCACCACCACCACUGCACCUCCAAGUGGGGACAACGAAUUGUUUCAUUUGCAUGUGGUUUUUCUCAUGAAAAAUAUCAUUAACAUGAGACAGCCCCAAACCAAGGAAACCAGAAGUGGGGUUUGUGCUUGGUCUUACUGAGAGCUUUCCCUACUUGACCAGACCCCAGCAUUGUUCUAGAUUUGUCUCUUGUGGGCUACAGGAAUGCAAACAUUUUGUAGUUUCCUCUUUUUUGUUUUCUUAAUGGCUUGAUGAGCCACACAUGUUUCUCUAAAUGCAUGAUUUUAAAUUCACACAAUUUCUGCCAACUAAACUUAAUGCAUUCUCCUCCUCUUCUAAUCAAUAAGGGCUAUCAGAAUGUUUUGGGUGAAGAUGAGCGGAAGGUAAGAAAUUACAUACUGUGGGCCAGGUUUGGUGACUCACAUCUGUAACCCCAGCACUUUGAGAGACCAAGGCAUGCAGAUCGCUUGAGGCCAGGAGUUCAAGACCAGCCUGGCCAACAUGGCGAAAUCCUAUCUGUACUAAAAAUACAAAAAUUACCCAGGCGUGAUGGCUCAUGCCUGUAGUCCCAGCCACUCAGGAGGCUAAGGCAAGAGAAUCACCUGAACCCAGGAAGUGGAGUUUGCAGUGAGCUGAGAUCACGCCACUGGACUCCAGCCUGGGCAACAGAGUGAGACUCUGUCUCAAAAAAAAAAAAAAAUUACAUACUGUCGAGUAUGACCUAAAAACAUAGAGAGACUAUAUUUCAAUAGUAUGACAGGAUUAUGUUAGCUGCUAAUAACAGAACCCAAAAUAACAAUAGAUUAAAUAAAAGAUUAGUAUCCCAGGUAAAAGUCUAGAGGUAGGAAUUCUAGGACUAAGUGAAGGUUCUGCUCAGUGAAGUCCUCAGGGACACAGGCACCUUCAGCUCAUAACUCUAUCAUCCCUGGAGGGUACUUAAGGGUCCAGGAUGGCAGCCAAAAGUCGUACCUACGUUUUAAACAGCAGGGUGCUGGAAGGCAUAAAGAAAAAGCCAGAGGCACACGCCUGUUCUCACUUAAGGAAAAUUCCUGGAAACUGCCACAAUACACCUUCGCUUACAUCCCAUUGAUCAAAACGUGGAUGCAAAGCCACACCUUACUGUGGGGUACAGGGAAAAAAAACUUUUUUUGACAAUCAUGAGUUCAUUAACAGAAUUCAGGGAUCUCUUAAUACAGAAGCAAGGGAGAACAGCUGUUGGGGGACCACCGGAAGUCUCUGCUCUAAAGAACAAUGUAAAUACCUGGUGGUAGACUAACACUGAUGGCCUACAAUGAAUCACACCUACUGACAUUCAUGCCUUUGUGCAGAGUUCCACACUGAUGCUGGGCUUGGCCUUGUGACUUGUUUGGCCAAUAGGAUCUCAGCAAGCACCUUGAUAAGUGCUUGUGCAUUAGGGCUUGCUGUCCUGAAAUCCAGGUGCCAUGUAAGAAGUGUGGGUUAGUCCCUAUGAAGAUGACAGACCACAUGGAGAAAGAGGCUGAGCCUAUACCCACCCACCUACCAGAGAAGAUCAGCAGAAGAACCAGUGAAUCAUUAUUGCUUUAGUCAUUAAUUUGGGGGCAAUUUGUUAUACAGCGAUAGAUAAGUGGUACAGUACAUAGACAAAUUUCUGCAGUUCAUCGAGCAUUAGCACCAAAUAAGUAUACAACAGUGUUUGGAGCACUAAAGAGAGUAUAAAAUAUUGCUUAAAAUUGUUUCCUUGGCCUCAUGAAACAGAAAUCGGCUCUGAUUAGCAACCAAAAAAUGAGAAUUUAUUGGAAGA
rnacentral:lncRNA from 1 species